UACGGAGGGGCAAGCGUUGUUCGGAAUUAUUGGGCGUAAAGCGUAUGUAGGCGGCUAAGUAAGUCAGGCGUGCAAGCCCGUGGCUCAACCACGGAAUUGCGUUUGAAACUGUUUAGCUUGAGUGCAGGAGAGGAAAGCGGAAUUCCCAGUGUAGCGGUGAAAUGCAUUGAUAUUGGGAAGAACAUCUGUGGCGAAGGCGGCUUUCUGGUCUGCUACUGACGCUGAGAUACGAAAGCCAGGGUAGCGAACGGG
rnacentral:rRNA from 1 species